GUUAGUUGGUAAGGUAACGGCUUACCAAGACAAUGAUACGUAGCCGACCUGAGAGGGUAAUCGGCCACAUUGGGACUGAGACACGGCCCAAACUCCUACGGGAGGCAGCAGUAGGGAAUCUUCCACAAUGGACGAAAGUCUGAUGGAGCAACGCCGCGUGAGUGAAGAAGGUUUUAGGAUCGUAAAACUCUGUUGUUGGAGAAGAACAGGGACUAGAGUAACUGUUAGUCCUUUGACGGUAUCCAACCAGAAAGCCACGGCUAACUACGUGCCAGCAGCCGCGGUAAUACGUAGGUGGCAAGCGUUGUCCGGAUUUAUUGGGCGUAAAGCGAGCGCAGGCGGUUUUUUAAGUCUGAUGUGAAAGCCUUCGGCUUAACCGAAGAAGUGCAUUAGAAACUGGGAAACUUGAGUGCAGAAGAGGACAGUGGAACUCCAUGUGUAGCGGUGAAAUGCGUAGAUAUAUGGAAGAACACCAGUGGCGAAGGCGGCUGUCUGGUCUGUAACUGACGCUGAGGCUCGAAAGUAUGGGGAGCGAACAGGAUUAGAUACCCUGGUAGUCCAUACCGUAAACGAUGAAUGCUAAGUGUUGGAGGG
rnacentral:rRNA from 1 species